GAUCAACGCUGGCGGCGCACCUAAGACAUGCAAGUUGAACGGACUUAAUCGAACUAUUUCUAUUUUGAAGCGGUUAGUGGCGGACUGGUGAGUAACGCGUAAGGAACCUGCCUAUUAGAGGGGAAUAACAGUGAGAAAUCAUUGCUAAUACCGCAUAUGCCAUAGAUAUCACAUGAUAACAGUGGGAAAGGAGCAAUCCGCUAAUAGAUGGCCUUGCGUCUGAUUAGAUAGUUGGUGGGGUAACGGCCUACCAAGUCGACGAUCAGUAGCCGGACUGAGAGGUUGAACGGCCACAUUGGGACUGAGAUACGGCCCAGACUCCUACGGGAGGCAGCAGUCGGGAAUAUUGCGCAAUGGAGGAAACUCUGACGCAGUGACGCCGCGUAUAGGAAGAAGGUUUUCGGAUUGUAAACUAUUGUCGUUAGGGAAGAGAAAGGACAGUGCCUAAGGAGGAAGCUCCGGCUAACUACGUG
rnacentral:rRNA from 1 species